GCCUACGGGAGGCAGCAGUGGGGAAUUUUGGACAAUGGGGGAAACCCUGAUCCAGCCAUUCCGCGUGAGUGAAGAAGGCCUUCGGGUUGUAAAGCUCUUUUGUCCGGAACGAAACGGGUAGCGUGAAUAUCGCUGCCUACUGACGGUACCGGAAGAAUAAGCACCGGCUAACUACGUGCCAGCAGCCGCGGUAA
rnacentral:rRNA from 1 species